rnacentral:rRNA from 1 species
CGGUCCUACGGGGGGCAGCAGUCGGGAAUAUUGCGCAAUGGAGGAAACUCUGACGCAGUGACGCCGCGUGCAGGAAGAAGGUUUUCGGAUUGUAAACUGCUUUAGAUAGGGAAGAAAAAAAUGACAGUACCUAUAGAAUAAGCUCCGGCUAACUACGUGCCAGCAGCCGCGGUAAUACGUAGGGAGCGAGCGUUAUCCGGAUUUAUUGGGCGUAAAGGGAACGCAGGCGGUCUUUUAAGUCUGAUGUGAAAGCCUUCGGCUUAACCGGAGUAGGGUAUUGG